ACAUCGUGUUAUCCUUGGAGCGAUCGCCCAAGAAUAGGACAAACAUAAACCUUUUGUAAUUGCAAUCAGCGUCAGUAACAAAUUAAUAAUUACAACUUUCAACAACGGAUCUCUUGGUUCUGGCAUCGAUGAAGAACGCAGCGAAAUGCGAUAAGUAGUGUGAAUUGCAGAAUUCAGUGAAUCAUCGAAUCUUUGAACGCACAUUGCGCCCUUUGGUAUUCCAAAGGGCAUGCCUGUUCGAGCGUCAUUUGUACCCUCAAGCUUUGCUUGGUGUUGGGCGUCUUGUCUCUAGCUUUGCUGGAGACUCGCCUUAAAGUAAUUGGCAGCCGGCCUACUGGUUUCGGAGCGCAGCACAAGUCGCACUCUCUAUCAGCAAAGGUCUAGCAUCCAUUAAGCCUUUUUUUCAACUUUUGACCUCGGAUCAGGUAGGGAUACCCGCUGAACUUAAGC
rnacentral:rRNA from 1 species